GACGAACGCUGGCGGCGUGCCUAAUACAUGCAAGUAGAACGCUGAAGGAGGAGCUUGCUCUUCUGGAUGAGUUGCGAACGGGUGAGUAACGCGUAGGUAACCUGCCUGGUAGCGGGGGAUAACUAUUGGAAACGAUAGCUAAUACCGCAUAACAGUAGAUGUUGCAUGACAUUUGCUUAAAAGGUGCAAUUGCACCACUACCAGAUGGACCUGCGUUGUAUUAGCUAGUUGGUGGGGUAACGGCUCACCAAGGCGACGAUACAUAGCCGACCUGAGAGGGUGAUCGGCCACACUGGGACUGAGACACGGCCCAGACUCCUACGGGAGGCAGCAGUAGGGAAUCUUCGGCAAUGGGCGGAAGUCUGACCGAGCAACGCCGCGUGAGUGAAGAAGGUUGUCGGAUCGUAAAGCUCUGUUGUAAGAGAAGAACGAGUGUGAGAGUGGAAAGUUCACACUGUGACGGUAUCUGACCAGAAAGGGACGGCUAACUACGUG
rnacentral:rRNA from 1 species